rnacentral:tRNA from 1 species
GCCACGGUGGUCUAGCGGUUAAGAACGCUGGCCUUGUAAUCCGGUCCCGGGUUCGAUUCCUGGCGGUGCCC